rnacentral:rRNA from 1 species
UACAGAGGUCCCAAGCGUUGUUCGGAUUCACUGGGCGUAAAGGGUGCGUAGGUGGCCGGGUAAGUCUGACGUGAAAUCUCCGAGCCUAACUCGGAAACUGCAUCGGAUACUAUCCGGCUUGAGGAUUGGAGGGGGGACUGGAAUACUUGGUGUAGCAGUGAAAUGCGUAGAUAUCAAGUGGAACACCAGUGGCGAAGGCGAGUCCCUGGGCCGAUACUGACGCUGAGAGACGAAAGCUAGGGGAGCGAAUGGG